GGCGACCUCCGCCCACUGCCCCCGAUCCUCUCCACAUCCCCUCACCUUCUAUCCCACAGCAGGGCCCCUAGAUCAAGGAGGCAGGCACCGUCAGAUCCGCCAUGCCCACAGCUCUCUCUGCCCACCCCAAACCCUACCCACAGCCGCCGCCGUGCUCCAUCACCAGCGACCUUGCCGCCGCUGCCCCUCUCCCCUCGCCCUAUCUCCAUACCUGCGACACCGAGCCGGACGGGAGGAGCCACCGCCCAACAGCACGCGCGUGCCGGUAGGGCGAGGGGAUCAGUAUGUACAGGCGGUGCCCCCGCCGGAUCUGAACAAGAACACCGGGUGGUUCAUGUACCUGGCAUUCCUAGAUCCAUCCGCCCCAUCCUCUCCUCACCCUAUCUUCCUCGGUGUUGGGGCAUCCAGAUCGAGCAGGUCAGGUGCCCGCGCUCCAUGAUCUCCAUGCGAUGCACCGGCGAGGCGACAGAGGUGCUCGUGGUGGACGCCUCCGCCGUCUUCCACCGACACGCAGCCGCGCCCUCCAACGCCGCUCUUCCACACGACGACAGACCUGUGUGCCGCUCGGCUGGGACAGAACCCCGCGCUCGACGAUGCCAUGGACAUGGAGGUCUUCAAGGGGAAGCUGAUACCCACACGGCCAGCUCGUGCUCACUGUGUUUGACCGCCAGCUUGUGCUCUACCGCGACGAGUACCGAUGCCCACACAGGUAUGACCUGCGUGCCCCCAUGACCUUGCACCGGUGCUAUGUGCGUGAGCGCAUGCGCGCUUGCUGCAAUGUCGGGUGUGGUGGUGUGUUGAAAACUUACGAUGGGGGCGGCCAGGUGGUGCGUGGCCGUGUGUGUGGCGAUGUAUGGAGCUCCGGAGAUUCCUAUUGGAUUGCCGAGACUUGGUCUUGGUUCUGCCGUUGGUCUUUAUGAAGCUUUGGAACUGAGGGACGGUGGAUCUAACUACUUGGGAAAGGGUGUUUCCAAGGUUCCAUUUGAGCGAAUUUUAUAUUAGCGUGAAUAACAAAUUCCCGGGCUACAGUCUUAAGUAAUUCUGUUACCUAGUUAGUGUUAGUGUAGUCUACCGUCGCUCACAUCUUUUGGUCUAACAUAUCUGUAGUGUUACUUAUGCAUGGUACCUUGCUGCUCUGUUGCCCUGACAUUUCUGCAUGGUUGUUUUGCAUUGCUGGCCUAAUUAAACAAGAUAAAUAUGUAUACUUCUUUGAGAUAGAAAUUCCAUGCAUGUUUAUGAGGCACAAAUUCUUUGAGAUAACCAUAACCGUACUUCAAAAGUAAACAUUAGCAUCUCAAAUAACCAGCUUACUGAUGUAGGAGUAGUAGAAACUCCAUGGUUUCCUGAUUGCUGAACAUGGGAGAUGUAUGUUUUGCAUUUCAAUUACAUAGCAGUACUAUGUAAUGAAACAGGUUUAUUCUUAUAUUCUUGGUUGUAUACUUUGGAGAUUUACCAUGCAACAUCUUUUCAUCUAGUAGUAGUACUACUAUUGGUUUAUCUAUAGCAAUAUACAUCUAGUACCUAUUGCAAUUUUCAUUUCCAAGAUUAAUUUGGUAUCCCAGGUCCUGCAGCACUGUCUUCUCUGUUCCUGACUAUAAAAAUUUCCAUGUGUACUAGUAGCAUCUAAACCAUGCAGACUAAAUCAUUAGGCACACUGUACUGCACACACUAGUUAAUGUUCUGUAUUUUUGAGAACAUUUUGUAUCUGUUGUCUAGUUCUAUCCGGUGAUACUCGAUUAGAGCCCCAUGUGUUUAAACAACUAGUCAAUUAACAUGGGUCCCCACUGGUGGUACAGCGUCAAGUUUGGAAGCAGCUGGAGUGAAUGUGAGAAAAGUUGAACAGCUUACACAUUUUCCUGAAAUGGUCUGGCGGCACCGCCGCGUCGACAACGAAGGUGGUGAUCGCAGCGGCGAGCGGCGCGAGUUGGUGGCUGCGGGACUCGACAACACGUCUCAUAUAUGUGCUUUCGACUAAUCCAGCUUCUUUUGGUCUAGCUGGGCAUUACUUUGAGUUCAUGAGCUCAUGAUAGACUACUAAAUGGACAAGUAUCUACAACGUUCGAUCAAAGAUGAUGCUUACCAGAUGUUCUACUGCAGCCCCAUCCAUAUCAUCGACAUGAAGUUAGAUUUUUGGCCUUUAUUCGUCAAAAGUUUGUGUACAAGGAACUCCAGGAGAAGAAUCUUUAAGUAAAUAAUUUAUAUAGAUCAGGAUCUUAUGUUGUCGAGGUGGCUGCUACUGUGACCAAAGAUCAGCCUGGAGUUGUGCAUCAUAGUCUUAGUUGAUGUUGCCACCAUGUUUUGGUGCCUGUGUAUUUGAUUGUAUGUACACUUGAUGGAUCGUGUAGUCGUGUACGUGCUGUUUUGAGUUUCAUUUAGUGAUUUCUGGAUUUGAUCAUUUAAUUGAGAAAAUUAUUUAUUGUUUAGUGUUGAAAUGUGUAAAAUUGAAAUAUAUGAUUGAAAAAGAUUGAAUGUUC